UUUACUUCCACAAAACCGAAAUACAUCAAUUAAAGUGAAAACAACAUCCCAUUGCUUAAGACAGAUUUGGUUGGGUUCCCCACAGUUUUAAAAUUGAUCUUUUUUUCUCAUAGAAAAUACAGUGCUUUAGAGUUCCCAAAACACAGAAGGUUAGAAUAUCACAUAAUUUAAGGUCAUUUGAGAAGAAAUACAUUAUUUAAAGAAAACGUAAUGUCCUUGAAAAUCAUUUUAACCCCCAGAGCAACAAAUAAAAGGGAAAAAAAACAAAAUUUUAAUGACAUUAAUAAAUGGGUCAUAAAUUCCAAUGAAUUAUAAUGCAAAAGCAACAAUUCUGAACUUAAAGAACAGGACAGUCAUUUUUGUCAAAGAAAAUACAUGCAUGGAAUGCAGAUGCCACAAACAGGAGAUGAAAUAAAACAGAUAAGGAGAAGGCUGUAUCUAGGUUGAAUGUCUGGCCAAUGUUUUCCUCUCCAUCAGUAUAAAUAAAAUGGAUGGAAGAAAACACCCCUGGAUACUACCAAAUAUGCCUUUCAAUUAUUUUAUGCAAAAACAUUAUUUUCAAUAGGUGUCAUUAAAGAAAACAUCAUAGAAAAAAGUUUGCAACUCAUGUUACAGAAAUUAGGCUAAAGUCUUUAAUAUAAAAACAGCUCCUAUAAAUCAGUAAGGAAAAGAACAACGGCCUACUUGAAAAAAUAGACAAAGGUUAUUUACAAACAAACAAUGCUGAUAAAUGGUAAAUGUGGUAGUUCUUAAACAUAAGAUAAAAUGCUCAAUCACAGAGAACUGCAAAAUAAAAUCAUUUUGGGAUAGUCUUUUUCACCUAUCAGAUUUGCAGGAUCAAAAAGUUUCAUAAAAUAUUCUUCGCAAGAGCGUGGCAAAGCAGGCAGUCAUACACAUUGCUGGUGGGAGUAUAAAUUGUUAGAACCCUAAGGAGCUGCAUGCAAUAUGGUGACAGCCAUCAAAAUUACAAGUGCACAUGCCCUCUGACCCAGCAAUUCCACUUCUGGGAAGUUCUCUAAAAUACCUGCAUAUAAAGCAAAAUGAUGCAUGUACAGGGUCAUUAGCUAUAAUGCUGAAAUAGCAAAAGCUUGGAAACAUUAGUGCCUCAGUAGGAGACAGGUUAAGUAAUUUGAGACAACCUUACAAUAGAAUUCUGAAACAGCUGAAAAAGAACAAGGAAGCAAUCACCAAGAAAUACUAGGAAAAGGAAGAGCUCAUAUGUUAUUCCACAAUUUGCAUAGAAUAUGGUGUAUUUGCUGAAAUGUGCACUAUCUGGAAAGAGACACAGGAAACUAGUAACAUUGCUGGCCUCCGUGAGGAAACUGGGCGGCCAGGGACUGGGAUGAGAAAGAGAUUUUCAAAAUGCUUACCCUUUUGUACCUUUAAACUUUUGAACUGUGAGACUGUAUUAGUUUUUUAAAGAAAUAAAAUUUAAAAUUAAGAAAUAAAAUGUUAAGGCCGGGCGCAGUGGCUCACGCUUGUAAUCCCAGCACUUUGGGAGGCCAAGGCGGAUGGAUCAUGAGGUCAGGAGAUCGAGACCAUACUGGCUAACACGGUGAAACCCCGUCUCUACUAAAAAAAAUACAAAAAACUGGCCAGGCGUGGUGGUGGGUGCCUGUAGUCCCAGCUACUCGGGAGGCUGAGGCAGGAGAACGGCGUGAACCCGGGAGGCAGAGCUUGCAGCGAGCCGAGAUCGCGCCACUGCACUCCAGCCUGGGCGACAGAGUGAGACUCCAUCUCAAAAAAAAAAAAAAAGAAAGAAAGAAAAGAAAAAGAAAUAAAAUGUUAAAAACAUUGUAAACAUUAGUGAGACACAGCCCUAAGACUAUUAUUAGACUAUUGCCCAAUCUAGCAUAAGAUAAUAUGUCCUUCUUAUUUGAGUGCUCGCAUUCACUCCAUAAUAAGAUAGAUUUGGAAUAAACUCUAUUCCAAACACAGAUACCUAAGAGAUCCAAAGUUAAUUCACUUUCUGGGACCUCCGACAAGAUACAGCUAGUUUUAAGAGAAAACACCAGGACUAGCAGAGAUCUGAGGAAAAUAUUCAUCUUGCUCAAGUUAACCUAGAAAAUGACAGGCUAUUUUGUGCAAUUUAUUUAUUUCUCAACUUUAAGGUUCAGAAAUCUCUGUCCUGUAACAAGGUAUCUGUUACCGGAGUCUGAUUAUUCUGCACUGUGUGGGUCAUGUUUGUUAUGAGGACACUUAGCAAACAAAGAAGGUUUUUCUCCUCCCUCAAUAGCGUGGUAACGGAUGACAGGACACCACUUUCAACGAAGGAGACAGACAUUUCCCUGGCCUUCCUGAAGAGCGCUUUUUGGACAGACAAACCUGUUGCUCAGGGGCUGAGCAUUCCCGUGUGUUCUCCCUGUACUUCACCUAAAAAUAUGCCUGUUUUCCACACUGUGCACACCCGGGGGUGGGUGCUGGGCAUACUCCACCUGCUUGUUUGCCUCCCGUUUUCUCAUCAGGGAGUAAACACAGUAAACCUAACGCUCCAGGGGAAGGAAAAAACAAAUCAUUCAGGGGCCAUCUCAGGUGACUGAUGAAUGCGGCACCGUUUUGAACGGGUACCUAAUCUGGUCCAGAUAUGCCUGCUGGGGCCGCAAGAACCAAGACACGUUCAAGCACGCUUGCUCCGGCAAGCUUGGGCGAGCAGGUCAAGACCUGAGAGUUUUAGAAAGCAGGGGCGAAGUUUUCAAGCACGAUGGGAACACCUGUAGGUGCAGGUGCCUGAGGGUCGGCCGACCACCUCGCAUCUGAGGCUGGAUCCGCACACGGAGGACGACAACUGCUCACAGGGACGUGCGUCCGGAGGAAAGUUGCGAAUGAGGGAGGAGAAGGAGCCAGUUUGGAAGGGAGGCUGACAAGUUUCAUUAUUAAAAAUUGAUCUGCACUUGGAUAUCUCUGGAGAUGCCAGCAAGGUUGUUGGGUACAGGGGUCUGCAGCUCAGAGACCAGCAGGCAUCCUGAACAAGACAGAUCCAGGCAGACGGAAUGGCUUGUAGAAGAACUUGGCAGAGGGCACAACCAAGAAGAGUUCAAAGGUGCUGGCCAGUUCCAUGCGACUGCAUGGGGGCAUGGGAGAAGAGAUACACUUAAACCAGGGUCCCACAAGCUCAAUGGGUCUCCUUCCAAAAUCAGCUUCCAAUGAGCCCUCAGAUUCUCCAAAUACUGGGCAGCUGGAUUUCCCAGACACCUUCUGCAAUCUGCUGACAUCUAAUAUACCUGUAGACUGUUCUCCCACUGACAAGGUUGUUCUUGCUCUUAUCCUAUAAAGAAGAGAGGUGGCAGAGAGUUGGAGGGGAGGGCCUCCUUCCCUGGCAUGUCCACCCGAGGGUUUCCAAGAACAUCCUGGCUGUGGCCCACACCUUUCUGUGUGGUUAGGAGGAGUAUCGGAUGCCUUCUCUUUCCAACCUUGGCUUGUGUGAAGAUGGUGUUAUGGUGAUGUAAGAGGAUGGCUCUAUUCUGAGUGAUGCAAGAUCCAACAUUUAGGCAUGAAAUGCCAUGAUGACAGCUGCCUACUUUAGCAAAAGGGAAGUUGUGUGUGUGUGUGUGUGUGUGUGUUUUUACGCGUAUGCAUAUAAAUAGAGGAAGUUGCUGCAGCUAGAUGGUGAAUCUACGUGAGGAGUAUCUGGCUGUUCCUUGUACUGUUCUUUCAACUUUCUGUGGGUUUGAAAAUUUUCAAAACAAGACAAAAAAUGUUUUUCAAGCGCUGUUUGAGAGGAUAGGAAAUAGAAAUGGCUCUUAUUAAAGAGCCAUUCAGAAGACUGUUUUCUUCUAUUUCCUUUUCCCCACGACUAUAACCCUCAGUGCCAGCGAUUUCUCCUUUCCAUAAACUUUUGUUUGACCUUAAAUCAUUGUGACACCACUGAGCAGGGAAUCUCAAUAAUGGCUGACAUAUCUGGUAGCAAAAGG